UACCUUUAUCUGGGGGAUAGCCUUUCGAAAGAGAGAUUAAUACCCCAUAAUAUAUUGAUUGGCAUCAAUUAAUAUUGAAAACUCCGGUGGAUAGAGAUGGGCACGCGCAAGAUUAGAUAGUUGGUGAGGUAACGGCUCACCAAGUCAGUGAUCUUUAGGGGUCCUGAGAGGGAGAUCCCCCACACUGGUACUGAGACACGGACCAGACUCCUACGGGAGGCAGCAGUGAGGAAUAUUGGACAAUGGGUGAAAGCCUGAUCCAGCCAUCCCGCGUGAAGGAUGACGGUCCUAUGGAUUGUAAACUUCUUUUGUAUAGGGAUAAACCUAGAUACGUGUAUCUAGCUGAAGGUACUAUACGAAUAAGCACCGGCUAACUCCGUGCCA
rnacentral:rRNA from 1 species